AUUGAACGCUGGCGGCAUGCCUUACACAUGCAAGUCGAACGGCAGCACGGGUGCUUGCACCUGGUGGCGAGUGGCGAACGGGUGAGUAAUACAUCGGAACAUGUCCUGUAGUGGGGGAUAGCCCGGCGAAAGCCGGAUUAAUACCGCAUACGAUCUACGGAUGAAAGCGGGGGACCUUCGGGCCUCGCGCUAUGGGGUUGGCCGAUGGCUGAUUAGCUAGUUGGUGGGGUAAAGGCCUACCAAGGCGACGAUCAGUAGCUGGUCUGAGAGGACGACCAGCCACACUGGGACUGAGACACGGCCCAGACUCCUACGGGAGGCAGCAGUGGGGAAUUUUGGACAAGGGGCGAAAGCCUGAUCCAGCAAUGCCGCGUGUGAAGAAGGCCUUCGGGUUGUAAAGCACUUUUGUCCGGAAAGAAAUCCUUGGCCCUAAUACGGUCGGGGGAUGACGGUACCGGAAGAAUAAGCACCGGCUAACUACGUG
rnacentral:rRNA from 1 species